rnacentral:rRNA from 1 species
ACGGGGCGCAGCAGGCGCGAAAACUGUGCAAUGCGCGAAAGCGCGACACGGGAAACCUGAGUGCCUUGACAUUGUCAAGGCUUUUCUUAAGCCUAAAAAGCUUAAGGAAUAAGAGCUGGGCAAGACGGGUGCCAGCCGCCGCGGUAACACCCGCAGCUCGAGUGGUGGUCACUUUUAUUGAGCCUAAAGCGUUUGUAGCCGGUUUUGCAAAUCUUCAGAUAAAUUCCUCUGCUUAACAGAUGAUCUUCUGAAGAGACUGCGAGACUUGGGACCGGGUGAGGUUGAAGGUACUUCCGGGGUAGGGGUAAAAUCCUGUAAUCCUGGAAGGACGACCGGUGGCGAAGGCGUUCAACUAGAACGGAUCCGACGGUGAGGAACGAGGGCUAGGGUAGCAAACCGGAUUAGAUACCCGGGUAGUCCUAGCUGUAAACACUGCCCACUUGGUGUUGCCCCUCCGAUGAGGGGAGGCAGUGCCGGAGCGAAGGUGUUAAGUGGGCCGCUUGGGGAGUAUGGUCGCAAGGCUGAAACUUAAAGGAAUUGGCGGGGGAGCACCGCAACGGGAGGAGCGUGCGGUUUAAUUGGAUUCAACGCCGGAAAACUCACCGGGAGCGACCUUUGGAUGAGAGUCAGCCUGAUGAGCUUACUCGAUAGAAGGAGAGGUGGUGCAUGGCCGUCGUCAGCUCGUACCGUAGGGCGUUCACUUAAGUGUGAUAACGAGCGAGACCCCCAUCUCUAAUUGCUAACGUGCAUUCGCGUGCACGCGCACUUUAGAGGGACCGCCAGUGCUAAACUGGAGGAAGGAGGGGUCGACGGCAGGUCAGUACGCCCCGAAUCUCCCGGGCAACACGCGCGCUACAAAGGGCAGGACAAUGAGUUGCCACCUCGAAAGGGGGAGCUAACCUCGAAACCUGUUCGUAGUUAGGAUUGAGGGCUGUAACUGGCCCUCAUGAAUGUGGAUUCCGUAGUAAUCGCGGGUCAACAGCCCGCGGUGAAUAUGCCCCUGCUCCUUGCACACACCGCCCGUCAAACCAUCCGAGCUGGUGCUGGAUGAGGGUAUGCUCUUAUGGGCAAACUCAAAUCUGAUGUCGGUGAGGAGGGUUAAGUCGUAACAAGGUAGCCGU